AUCUACCUUACAGUAAAAUGUGACUAAUAGAAAAGGAAUAGUGGUGUCAUAUAAUACUUUAAAAAGGUUGCUAAUAGGUAAAAGUUUGAUGAGGAGUGGAAUAGUCACAUAGUCUCAAAGUAGCUACUCAUACAUUAUCUAUUAAUUAGAAAGAGAAAAGCAGUAACUUAUAGAGUGGAAAGACCCUAGCACAUACCACCUUAACCAAGUGAUACAACUUAUCAUCACCCCAAUAUUAUAGCAAACCAUGAUAGGCUCAUAUCAUGAGCCUUCUGAUACAGUUGGCUGAGAAGGAUAUGCCAUCAGUUCUGUGCUAUUUCUUCCCCACAUGCCUAAUCAAAAUCUAAUUAUGAGCAAACAUUAUGCAAGCCCAAAUGCCAAGGCCAAGUAAGAAAAAGGUCUGAGGAAAUGUUAUAGAUUAAAUGUGCCUACAGAGAUAUGGCAGCUAAAUUUAAUUUGGAGCAAUUUGAACUUUUGAUUAGAUCCUGGACUGAGUAGGUGGGAGAUAGCUAUGAGGUCAUUAUUGGGACAACUGACUAAAUAUGAAUAUGGGCUAAAGCAUAAUAGUAUUAUACAAUGUCAAAUUUCCUGAUUUGGGUUAUUGUACUUUGGUUAUGUAAGAGAAUGGCCCAUUCUUAGAAAAUAUAUAUUGAAGCAUCAGGGGUAAAGGGGAAUAAUGUUGCUAACUUUCCAAAUUACUCUUAGAUGGGAGUAGGCAUUGAAGAGAGGGAGUGGGGAUGGGGUGGGGACACAGCCAAACUGUAUCAGUGUCAUUGUUAACAUUAUAGAACUUUUAUUUAAAGGUAAGUUUAAAUAUUCCUAU
rnacentral:lncRNA from 10 species